rnacentral:rRNA from 1 species
UAAUUGAAGAGUUUGAUCAUGGCUCAGAUUGAACGCUGGCGGCAGGCUUAACACAUGCAAGUCGAGCGGUAACACAGGAGAGCUUGCUC